UAAAGCCAUACACCGAAGCUUAGGGUUCACGAGCAAUCGUGAGCGGUAGCGGAGCGUUCUGUAAGCUGAUGAAGCCAUACUCGUGAGAGAUGGUGGAGGUAUCAGAAGUGCGAAUGCUGACAUGAGUAACGUAAGGGGAGUGAGAGACUCCCCCGCCGAAAGUCCAAGGGUUCCUGCUUAAAGCUAAUCUGAGCAGGGUUAGCCGGCCCCUAAGUCGAGGCAGAAAUGCGUAGACGAUGGGAACCACGUUAAUAUUCGUGGGCCUGGAGGAAGUGACGGAUCAUCAAGGUAGUCCAAUCUUAUCGGAUUGAACGGGCUGCUGCGUGGUUCCAGGAAAUAGCUCCUCCUUAUAGACCGUACCCGAAACCGACACUGGUGGACUGGUAGAGUAUACCAAGGCGCUUGAGAGAACUAUGCUGAAGGAACUCGGCAAAUUGCACGCGUAACUUCGGAAGAAGCGUGACCCUUUUGCGCGCAAGCGUAGGAGGGUGGCACAGACCAGGGGGUAGCGACUGUUUAUCAAAAACACAGGGCUCUGCGAAGUCGCAAGACGACGUAUAGGGUCUGACGCCUGCCCGGUGCUGGAAGGUUAAAGGGAGAGGUGCAAGCUUUGAACUGAAGCCCCAGUAAACGGCGGCCGUAACGAUAACGGUCCUAAGGUAGCGAAAUUCCUUGUCGGGUAAGUUCCGACCUGCACGAAUGGCGUAACGACUUCCCCGCUGUCUCCAGCAUAGACUCAGUGAAAUUGAAUUCCCCGUGAAGAUGCGGGGUUCCUGCGGUUAGACGGAAAGACCCCGUGCACCUUUACUAUAGCUUUACAUUGGCAUUCGUAGUGGCAUGUGUAGGAUAGGUGGUAGGCUUUGAAGCAGGGACGCUAGUUUCUGUGGAGCCACCCUUGAAAUACCACCCUUAUCUCUAUGGAUGUCUAACCGCGGCCCGUUAUCCGGGUCCGGGACAAUGUAUGGUGGGUAGUUUGACUGGGGCGGUCGCCUCCCAAAGAGUAACGGAGGCGCGCGAUGGUGGGCUCAGAACGGUCGGAAAUCGUUCGCUGAGUGCAAUGGCAUAAGCCUGCCUGACUGCGAGACUGACAAGUCGAGCAGAGACGAAAGUCGGUCAUAGUGAUCCGGUGGUCCCGCGUGGAAGGGCCAUCGCUCAACGGAUAAAAGGUACGCCGGGGAUAACAGGCUGAUGACCCCCAAGAGUCCAUAUCGACGGGGUUGUUUGGCACCUCGAUGUCGACUCAUCGCAUCCUGGGGCUGGAGCAGGUCCCAAGGGUAUGGCUGUUCGCCAUUUAAAGCGGUACGUGAGUUGGGUUCAGAACGUCGUGAGACAGUUCGGUCCCUAUCUGCCGUGGGUGUAGGAAUAUUGAAAGGAUCUGUCCCUAGUACGAGAGGACCGGGAUGGACGGAUCUCUGGUGGACCUGUUGUGGCGCCAGCCGCAUAGCAGGGUAGCUAUAUCCGGACGGGAUAACCGCUGAAGGCAUCUAAGCGGGAAACCCACCUUAAAACGAGUAUUCCCUGAGAGCCGUGGUAGACGACCACGUUGAUAGGCCGGGUAUGGAAGUGCGGCAACGCAUGAAGUUUACCGGUACUAAUAGCUCG
rnacentral:rRNA from 1 species